rnacentral:rRNA from 1 species
GACGAACGCUGGCGGCGUGCCUAAUACAUGCAAGUCGAACGCAGUGGGGACGGGUGAGUAACACGUGGGUAACCUCCCAUCAGAGGGGAUAACACUUGGAAACAGGUGCUAAACCGAUACUGAUGGAUGGACCCGCGGUGCAUUAGCUAGUUGGUGAGGUAACGGCGCACCAAGGCCACGAUGAAUAGCGGACUUGCGGGGGUGAUCGUCAACACUGGGACUGAGACACGGCCCAGACUCCAACGGGAGGCAGCGGUAGGGAAUCUUCGUCAAUGAACGAAAGUCUGACCGAGCAACGCCGCGUGAGUGAGAAGGGUUUUCGGAUCGUAAAACUCUGUUGUUCGAGAAGCGGUAUCUAACCAGAAAGCCACGGCUAACUACGUGCCAGCAGCCGCGGUAAUAC